rnacentral:rRNA from 1 species
GCUAAGAAUCUUGCGCAAUGGGCGAAAGCCUGACGCAGCAACGCCGCGUGGGGGACGAAGGCCCUCGGGUCGUAAACCCCUUUUGCGAGGGAAGAAGUUCUGACGGUACCUCGCGAAUAAGCCACGGCUAACUACGUGCCAGCAGCCGCGGUAAUACGUAGGUGGCGAGCGUUGUCCGGAUUUACUGGGCGUAAAGAGCCCGCAGGCGGCUUGGUAAGUUUGGGGUGAAAUCUCCCGGCUCAACUGGGAGGGUGCCUCGAAAACUACCAGGCUUGAGGCAUGGAGAGGGAUGCGGAAUUCCCGGUGUAGUGGUGAAAUGCGUAGAUAUCGGGAGGAACACCAGUGGCGAAGGCGGCAUCCUGGCCAUGUCCUGACGCUCAGGGGCGAAAGCGUGGGGAGCAAACCGGAUUAGAUACCCCUGUAGUCC